UUAUGGUCAUAUCAUAUGUUGAGCACCAGUUUCCAUAUGAUCACCAAAGUUAAGCAACAUUAAAAUUGUCAGUAGCUAGAUGGGUGACCACUUGGGAAUACCAGGUACUGUAAG